rnacentral:rRNA from 1 species
GACGAACGCUGGCGGCGUGCUUAACACAUGCAAGUCGAACGGAGAGGCCCUGCUGUUGUGAUGUGCUCGAGUGGCGAGAGUAUGAGUUACGCGACCGUAACCUGCCCUUGGCUUUAGUCUAACUUCUGGGAGCUAAUGCUGGUACCGCAUCGGUUCUCCCACGGCAGGUGGUGAGUUGGGAUUUUUCGGCGGGUGGGGAUGGACUCGCGGCCUAUCAGCUUGUUGGUGGGGUAGUGGCCUACCAAGGCUGUGACGGGUAGCCGGCCUGAGAGGGUGACCGGCCACACUGGGACUGAGAUACGGCCCAGACUCCUACGGGAGGCAGCAGUGGGGAAUAUUGCACAAUGGGCGGAAGCCUGACGCAGCAACGCCGCGUGCGGGAUGACGGCCUUCGGGUUGUAAACCGCUUUCGCCAGUGACGAAGCGUGAGUGACGGUAACGGGUAAAGAAGCACCGGCCAACUACGUG